GGAUUAGUGGCGAACGGGUGAGUAAUACGUGAGUAACCUGCCCUCCUUUUUGGGAUAAGCCUUGGAAACGGGGUCUAAUACCGGAUAUUCUGGCAUGCUCGCAUGGGUGUGUUGGGAAAGCUUUAUGUGAAGGGGGAUGGGCUCGCGGCCUAUCAGCUUGUUGGUGGGGUGAUGGCCUACCAAGGCGGUGACGGGUAGCCGGCCUGAGAGGGUGACCGGCCACAUUGGGACUGAGAUACGGCCCAGACUCC
rnacentral:rRNA from 1 species